UGGGGAAUAUUGCACAAUGGGCGCAAGCCUGAUGCAGCGACGCCGCGUGAGGGAUGGAGGCCUUCGGGUUGUAAACCUCUUUCGCCAGUGAAGCAGGCCAUCUUCUUUGUGGGGUGGUUGACGGUAGCCGGAUAAGAAGCGCCGGCUAACUACGUGCCAGCAGCCGCGGUAAUACGUAGGGCGCGAGCGUUGUCCGGAAUUAUUGGGCGUAAAGAGCUCGUAGGCGGCUGGUCGCGUCUGUCGUGAAAUCCCCUGGCUUAACUGGGGGCUUGCGGUGGGUACGGGCCGGCUUGAGUGCGGUAGGGGAGACUGGAAUUCCUGGUGUAGCGGUGGAAUGCGCAGAUAUCAGGAGGAACACCGGUGGCGAAGGCGGGUCUCUGGGCCGUUACUGACGCUGAGGAGCGAAAGCGUGGGGAGCGAACAGG
rnacentral:rRNA from 1 species